GAUGAACGCUGGCGGCGUGCCUAAUACAUGCAAGUCGAGCGAACAGACGAGGAGCUUGCUCCUCUGACGUUAGCGGCGGACGGGUGAGUAACACGUGGAUAACCUACCUAUAAGACUGGGAUAACUUCGGGAAACCGGAGCUAAUACCGGAUAAUAUAUUGAACCGCAUGGUUCAAUAGUGAAAGACGGUUUUGCUGUCACUUAUAGAUGGAUCCGCGCCGCAUUAGCUAGUUGGUAAGGUAACGGCUUACCAAGGCAACGAUGCGUAGCCGACCUGAGAGGGUGAUCGGCCACACGGGAACUGAGACACGGUCCAUACUCCUACGGGAGGCAGCAGUAGGGAAUCGUCCGCAAUGGGCGAAAGCCUGACGGAGCAACGCCGCGUGAGUUAUGAAGGUCUUCGGAUCGUAAAACUCUGUUAUUAGGGAAGAACAAAUGUGUAAGUAACUAUGCACGUCUUGACGGUACCUAAUCAGAAAGCCACGGCUAACUACGUG
rnacentral:rRNA from 1 species